rnacentral:rRNA from 1 species
UACGGAGGGAGCUAGCGUUGUUCGGAAUUACUGGGCGUAAAGCGCACGUAGGCGGCUUUUUAAGUCAGGGGUGAAAUCCCGGGGCUCAACCCCGGAACUGCCCUUGAAACUGGAGAGCUAGAAUCUUGGAGAGGCGAGUGGAAUUCCGAGUGUAGAGGUGAAAUUCGUAGAUAUUCGGAAGAACACCAGUGCGAAGGACGACUCGCUGGACAAGUAUUGACGCUGAGGUGCGAAAGCGUGGGGAGCAAACAGG